UGGGUAGGGGAGCGUUCUGUAAGCCUGUGAAGGUGGCCUGUGAGGGUUGCUGGAGGUAUCAGAAGUGCGAAUGCUGACAUAAGUAACGAUAAAGCGGGUGAAAAGCCCGCUCGCCGGAAGACCAAGGGUUCCUGUCCAACGUUAAUCGGGGCAGGGUGAGUCGACCCCUAAGGCGAGGCCGAAAGGCGUAGUCGAUGGGAAACGGGUUAAUAUUCCCGUACUUGGUGUUACUGCGAAGGGGGGACGGAGAAGGCUAUGUUGGCCGGGCGACGGUUGUCCCGGUUUAAGCGUGUAGGUGUGUGUUCCAGGUAAAUCCGGUUCACUUUAACACUGAGGCGUGACGACGAGGCACUACGGUGCUGAAGCAACAAAUGCCCUGCUUCCAGGAAAAGCCUCUAAGCAUCAGGUAACAUCAAAUCGUACCCCAAACCGACACAGGUGGUCAGGUAGAGAAUACCAAGGCGCUUGAGAGAACUCGGGUGAAGGAACUAGGCAAAAUGGUGCCGUAACUUCGGGAGAAGGCACGCUGACACGUAGGUGAAGUGAUUUACUCACGGAGCUGAAGUCAGUCGAAGAUACCAGCUGGCUGCAACUGUUUAUUAAAAACACAGCACUGUGCAAACACGAAAGUGGACGUAUACGGUGUGACGCCUGCCCGGUGCCGGAAGGUUAAUUGAUGGGGUCAGCGCAAGCGAAGCUCCUGAUCGAAGCCCCGGUAAACGGCGGCCGUAACUAUAACGGUCCUAAGGUAGCGAAAUUCCUUGUCGGGUAAGUUCCGACCUGCACGAAUGGCGUAAUGAUGGCCAGGCUGUCUCCACCCGAGACUCAGUGAAAUUGAACUCGCUGUGAAGAUGCAGUGUACCCGCGGCAAGACGGAAAGACCCCGUGAACCUUUACUAUAGCUUGACACUGAACAUUGAGCCUUGAUGUGUAGGAUAGGUGGGAGGCUUUGAAGCGUGGACGCCAGUCUGCGUGGAGCCGACCUUGAAAUACCACCCUUUAAUGUUUGAUGUUCUAACGUGGACCCGUAAUCCGGGUUGCGGACAGUGUCUGGUGGGUAGUUUGACUGGGGCGGUCUCCUCCUAAAGAGUAACGGAGGAGCACGAAGGUUGGCUAAUCCUGGUCGGACAUCAGGAGGUUAGUGCAAUGGCAUAAGCCAGCUUGACUGCGAGCGUGACGGCGCGAGCAGGUGCGAAAGCAGGUCAUAGUGAUCCGGUGGUUCUGAAUGGAAGGGCCAUCGCUCAACGGAUAAAAGGUACUCCGGGGAUAACAGGCUGAUACCGCCCAAGAGUUCAUAUCGACGGCGGUGUUUGGCACCUCGAUGUCGGCUCAUCACAUCCUGGGGCUGAAGUAGGUCCCAAGGGUAUGGCUGUUCGCCAUUUAAAGUGGUACGCGAGCUGGGUUUAGAACGUCGUGAGACAGUUCGGUCCCUAUCUGCCGUGGGCGCUGGAGAACUGAGGGGGGCUGCUCCUAGUACGAGAGGACCGGAGUGGACGCAUCACUGGUGUUCGGGUUGUCAUGCCAAUGGCACUGCCCGGUAGCUAAAUGCGGAAGAGAUAAGUGCUGAAAGCAUCUAAGCACGAAACUUGCCCCGAGAUGAGUUCU
rnacentral:rRNA from 1 species